CCAGGUGGGUGCUGGGAAUCAAACCUGGGUCCUCUGGAAGAGCAGUCAGUGCUCUUAACCCCUGAGCCAUCUCCAGUCCCUGCCUCCCAGGCUGUGCUUUCUUAACAUUUAUUCAGAAGUUUAUUCACAUCUUCAAUUCUUUUCUUUUCCUUUAUUAAUUAAAACAUAUUAUAUGUGUAUGAGUGUUUUACCUGCGUGAAUAUGGACCACUUGUGUGGUGCCUACAGGGUUAGAAGAGGGCAUCUGAUACCCUGGCUGUGGGCUGCCAUAUGGGUGCUGGGAAUCAAACCUUCCAGGUUUCUGGGAGGGCAACUAAUACUGCUAAUUGAUGGCUUUUUCCUCUUCCUCAGUGAUGCAGAUAGUGGCCAGAUUAGAUCAGAUUAGACCAGGCUAAAAGUAGAUAAUAGCAGGUGUAUUAGGAGACAGCUCUGGAUUGGGUUCACUGAUCUCAUGGGUAGAGGUCAGCGAAUUCACACAUCCAGGCUAAUAGCAAGGGGGGUUUAUGGGUGUUGGGUUUGGAGUCAUGGCAUGUGAGCUAGAAGCUGAGACUGUGCCCGUAUGUGGUCCCUGGGCGGGCACUCUUGGGUGGGUUGCCCGGAGUUUUCUCUGUGUGGGCGGGGUCGGGGGAAGGAGGGUCGAUGGGGUUUCCCAGCUUGUGCAAGGGCUGAGCAGGGCUCCAGCCGAACACCAAUCAUUGAGCCAUCUCUUGCUAGCCACCAUGUCUUAGUUUCUUUGAACGCCUUUGUCAUCAUUCUUUAGAAUUCUCCAUCUGCAAUGACAUGUAAGUCACUCUUACUGGGUGAACAUGACUUUAGGAUUGGUAGAGUUUGGAGGAGACAUUGUCUUCAUCUUUUCAUUGAAACUUUGUGUGUGUCUGCUUAAGUUUGCUUAGUUGCUCUUCUUGUUUCAGUGGAAGUGUAUAUACAGUGUUUUGGAGGGACUAAGUUCUAGGUAGGAUUGAAUUGCUGUUUUUCUGUUAGACUGGUGGUCAGGGCACCUGGCUCCAUCCCAUCUCCUCCCUAUGAGGAGUGUCUUUAACAGCUGUCGAUCCAGGGGUCCAUCGCUGUGAAAACAGAGCGGUAGGCAGCUAUGGAACAUUUACCCCUGCAGUGACCGUCAUUGCAAGGAGGAAAGAGACACUGAUUGUGCUGUGUGUACUAACUUACCAGCUGUUGUGGGGAAAUGGAAAGAAAAGGAGAACAGAUAAAGCAGAGAGGAGCACAUAGAAGGUAGAGCUUUAGUGAAAAGACAGUGUUGGAGGAUGCUGGGGAGCCCUCUCCGUGGAGAAAGGGCCUGCCUGGAAAGCACAAGGACCACAGAUUGGAUUCCUAGCAUCCAGAAGACGGGUCAUCUCUAUAAAAGAGGAAAGACAACGCUGCUGCCACAGGCCAGGUGGCGACCCAGCCGGAGACCUACCCUCCAUCUCCUUGGACCUGCCUGGGGCAGUAAAGCUGCCUUUGUCCAGACACGCCAUCUGACUGAAGACUUCCUAGACAAACAGACACUGAGACCAACAGAUAGCAAACUUGGGAUCCUCCAGCAACAGAUGAACUCUCUUGCCUGAGCCUAAUGGCUACCGAACUUGGGGAAACUUACACGAUGUCUAUGUAAAACUGAUGUUAAUACCCUUAUAAACUGUACAAUUCACUGAACAA